UACGCUGGCGGCGUGCCUAACACAUGCAAGUCGAACGAUUCUUUGAUUUAUAGCAAUAUUAUUAAAGAGGAGUGGCGAACGGGUGAGUAACACGUAGAUAAUCUGCCUUUCAGACGGGGACAACUCAGGGAAACUUGUGCUAAUACCCGAUGAGACCACAAGAAGGGAUUUUUUGUGGCCAAAGGCGGGCAGCAAUGCUCGUGCUGAAAGAUGAGUCUGCGUCCUAUCAGCUAGUUGGUGGGGUAAAUGCCUACCAAGGCUAAGACGGGUAGCCGGCCUGAGAGGGUGAACGGCCACACUGGGACUGAGACACGGCCCAGACUCCUACGGGAGGCAGCAGUGAGGAAUUUUCCGCAAUGGGCGCAAGCCUGACGGAGCGACGCCGCGUGAAGGGAUGACAGCUUUCGGGUUGUAAACCUCUUUUAUUAAGGAAAAAGAUCUAUAUGCUAAUAUCAUGUAGAUUUGAUGGUACUUAUUGAAUAAGCCCCGGCUAACUACGUGCCAGCCGCCGC
rnacentral:rRNA from 1 species